rnacentral:tRNA from 1 species
GACUUCGUGAUGUAGUGGUCAGCACGCUCGACGCGUAACCGAGAGGUCCGUGGUUCGAUUCCCGGCGAAGGCG